rnacentral:rRNA from 1 species
CCCGGGUCUUGUACACACCGCCCGUCACACCACGAAAGUCGGCAACACCCGAAGCCGGUGGCCUAACCCGCAAGGGAGGGAGCCGUCCAAGGUAUGACUGGUGAUUGGGGUG